rnacentral:rRNA from 1 species
GAUGAACGCUAGCUACAGGCUUAACACAUGCAAGUCGCGGGGCAGCAUGGGGGUUGCUUGCAAUCCCCGAUGGCGACCGGCGCACGGGUGAGUAACGCGUAUCCAACCUGCCCUUCACCACGGGAUAACCCGGCGAAAGUCGGACUAAUACCGUAUGUUGUCCAUUGACGGCAUCCGAUUUGGACGAAAGGCUUGGCGGUGAGGGGUGGGGAUGCGUCCGAUUAGCCAGACGGCGGGGUAACGGCCCACCGUGGCUACGAUCGGUAGGGGUUCUGAGAGGAAGGUCCCCCACACUGGAACUGAGACACGGUCCAGACUCCUACGGGAGGCAGCAGUGAGGAAUAUUGGUCAAUGGGCGUAAGCCUGAACCAGCCAAGUAGCGUGCAGGAUGACGGCCCUAUGGGUUGUAAACUGCUUUUAUGCGGGGAUAAAGUGGCCCACGUGUGGGCUUUUGCAGGUACCGCAUGAAUAAGGACCGGCUAAUUCCGUG